GAUUCUGUGGCAGAGCGGUCUAAUGCGUGCGGUUCAGGUCCGUAUCCGAAAGGGCAUGGGUUCGAAUCCCAUCGGAAUCA
rfam:Helicosporidium sp. ATCC 50920 contig-1947, whole genome shotgun sequence.